AGAUUGAACGCUGGCGGCAUGCCUUACACAUGCAAGUCGAACGGCAGCACGGGAGCAAUCCUGGUGGCGAGUGGCGAACGGGUGAGUAACACAUCGGAACGUGCCCAAUCGUGGGGGAUAACUACGCGAAAGCGUAGCUAAUACCGCAUAUGAUCUACGGAUGAAAGCAGGGGAUCGCAAGACCUUGCGCGAAUGGAGCGGCCGAUGGCAGAUUAGGUAGUUGGUGAGGUAAAGGCCCACCAAGCCUUCGAUCUGUAGCUGGUCUGAGAGGACGACCAGCCACACUGGGACUGAGACCACGGCCCAAGACCUCCGUACGGGAGGCAGCGAGGUGGGUAAUUUUGGACAAGUGGGCGCAAGCCUGACUCCAGCCAGUCGCCGCGU
rnacentral:rRNA from 1 species